GUAUUAUUUUAAAAAAUUAAUUAUUAAAAAUAAUUAUAAAAAAAAAUGUUUUAGUAUAUUUUAUAGAAAAAAUAAUAUUAAUUAUAGUUUAUUAGUAUUGUAAAAAAAAAUUGAAAUAUUAUGAAAAAUUAUUAUUAAAAAAGAAAAUUUAAUUUAUUGUAUCUUGUGUAUCAGAGUGUAUUAAAUAUGAAAUAAUUAAAAUUAUUAAUCUCGAUUUUAAAAGAUUUAAUAAAUUAUAAAAGUUAAUGUAAUAAAAUUAUUUUUAAUAAUUUAUUAGAAAUGAAAUGUUAUUCGUUUUUAAAGGUAUCUAGUUUUUUAAGAAAUAAAUUUAAUUUAGUUUUUUAAAAUUUAUUUAAUUAAUUAUUUAAUUAAAUAAUUUUUAAAAAAUAGUAUUUUAUGGGAUAAGCUAUAAAAUAAAUUGUUAUAAAUAAUAAAUAAAAUUUUAAAUAUAAUAUGUUUAGAAGUAUCAAUUUUUAUUAAGUUUGUUAUAAAUUAAUUUUUAUAUAACAUUAUUUAUUAUAUUUUAAUUUUUUAUAAAAAUAUUUAUUUUAAUUUUAAAAAUAAAUUAAUAAUGAUAUAAUUAGUAUAUAAAAAUUUAUAAAAAUUUAUUUUUUUUUGAAAAGUUUAAAUAAAGAAUUCGGCAAAAAUAAUGUUCGCCUGUUUAACAAAAACAUGUCUUUUAGAAAUUAAUUUAAAGUCUAACCUGCCCACUGAUUUUUAUUAAAUGGCCGCAGUAUUUUAACUGUGCAAAGGUAGCAUAAUCAUUAGUCUUUUAAUUGAAGGCUGGAAUGAAUGGUUGGACGAAAUAUUAACUGUUUCAUUUGAAUUUAUAAUAGAAUUUUAUUUUUUAGUCAAAAAGCUAAAAUUUAUUUAAAAGACGAGAAGACCCUAUAAAUCUUUAUAUUUAUUUUAUUUUAAUUUUAAAGAUUAAGUUAGUUAUUAUAAUAAUUAAAUAUUUUAUUGGGGUGAUAGUAAAAUUUAAUUAACUUUUAAAUUUAAAGUCAUAGAUUUAUGAAUAAUUGAUCCAUUUUUAAUGAUUAAAAAAUUAAGUUACUUUAGGGAUAACAGCGUAAUUUUUUUGGAGAGUUCAUAUUGAUAAAAAAGAUUGCGACCUCGAUGUUGGAUUAAGAUAUAAUUUUAGGUGUAGCCGUUUAAAUUUUAAGUCUGUUCGACUUUUAAAAUCUUACAUGAUCUGAGUUCAAACCGGUGUAAGCCAGGUUGGUUUCUAUCUUUAAUUAAGUUUUAUAUUUUAGUACGAAAGGAUUAAAUAUAAAAAUAAAUAUAUUUUAUAGAUAUGAAUAUAAUUAAUUUAUAAUAA
rnacentral:rRNA from 1 species